rnacentral:rRNA from 1 species
ACGAUAACGGCGUCGAGCGGCGGACGGGUGAGUAAUGCCUAGGAAAUUGCCCUGAUGUGGGGGAUAACCAUUGGAAACGAUGGCUAAUACCGCAUGAUGCCUACGGGCCAAAGAGGGGGACCUUCGGGCCUCUCGCGUCAGGAUAUGCCUAGGUGGGAUUAGCUAGUUGGUGAGGUAAGGGCUCACCAAGGCAACGAUCCCUAGCUGGUCUGAGAGGAUGAUCAGCCACACUGGAACUGAGACACGGUCCAGACUCCUACGGGAGGCAGCAGUGGGGAAUAUUGCACAAUGGGCGCAAGCCUGAUGCAGCCAUGCCGCGUGUAUGAAGAAGGCCUUCGGGUUGUAAAGUACUUUCAGUCGUGAGGAAGGUGGUGUCGUUAAUAGCGCUAUCAUUUGACGUUAGCGACAGAAGAAGCACCGGCUAACUCCGUGCCAGCAGCCGCGGUAAUACGGAGGGUGCGAGCGUUAAUCGGAAUUACUGGGCGUAAAGCGCAUGCAGGUGGUUUGUUAAGUCAGAUGUGAAAGCCCGGGGCUCAACCUCGGAAUAGCAUUUGAAACCUGGCAGACUAGAGUACUGUAGAGGGGGGGUAGAAUUUUCAGGUGUAGCCGGUGAAAUGCGUAGGGGGGGUAGAAAUUUUCAGGGUGUAGCCGGUGAAAUGCGUA